ACGCCGCGUGAGCGAAGAAGGUCUUCGGAUCGUAAAGCUCUUUUGUAAGGGGAAGAACAAGUGCAGUAGUAACUGGCUGCACCUUGACGGUACCUUACUAGAAAGCCACGGGUAAUUACG
rnacentral:rRNA from 1 species